rnacentral:rRNA from 1 species
GACGAACGCUGGCGGCGUGCUUAACACAUGCAAGUCGACCGGAAAGGCCCUGCUUUUGUGGGGUGCUCGAGUGGCGCACGGGUGUGUCACACGUGAGUCACCUGCCCCUGCCUUUGGGAUAACUUCAGGACACUGGGGCAUAUACCGGAUUGUAGUACCUGCUGCUCGGUGGGGGAUGAAAAGUAUCGGCGGUUGGGGAUGGACUCGCGGCUUAUCAGCUUGUUGGUGGGGUAGUGGCUUACCAAGGCUUUGACGGGUAGCCGGCCUGAGAGGGUGACCGGCCACAUUGGGACUGGGAUACGGGCCAGAAUCCUACGGGAGGGAGCAGUGGGGGAUAAUGCAAAAUGGGCGGAAGCCUGAGGCAGCAACGCCGCGUGCGGGAGAAGGGCCUUCGGGGUGUAAACCGUUUUUGCAGGUGACGAGGAGUGAGUGACGGUAAUGGGUAAAGAAGCAACGGCUAACUACGUG